rnacentral:rRNA from 1 species
AACGAGCGCUGGCGGCAGGCCUAACACAUGCAAGUCGAGCGCCCCGCAAGGGGAGCGGCGGACGGGUGAGUAACGCGUGGGAACGUACCCUUUGCUACGGAAUAGCCUCGGGAAACUGGGAGUAAUACCGUAUGUGUCCUUCGGGAGAAAGAUUUAUCGGCAAGGGAUCGGCCCGCGUUGGAUUAGGUAGUUGGUGGGGUAAUGGCCUACCAAGCCGACGAUCCAUAGCUGGUUUGAGAGGAUGAUCAGCCACACUGGGACUGAGACACGGCCCAGACUCCUACGGGAGGCAGCAGUGGGGAAUCUUAGACAAUGGGCGCAAGCCUGAUCUAGCCAUGCCGCGUGAGCGAUGAAGGCCUUAGGGUUGUAAAGCUCUUUCAGGGGGGAAGAUAAUGACUGUACCCCCAGAAGAAGCCCCGGCUAACUCCGUG